GCGAAGGCCGGGCCUUACCGCUUACAGUACACUUUCAUUCUGCCCUAGGUUGAGCUGUAACUACCCUCCACCCCCAUUCGUAUGGUGAAGCCACUAGGACCUUAGGAUGUGACCUUUGCUUUGGAAAUAGGUGCCGGGUGCGGUGGCUCAUGCCUAGUCAUCCCAGCCCUUUGGGAGGCUGAGGUGGGCAGAUCACCUGAGGUCAGGAGUUCGAGACCAGCCUGGGCAACAUGGUGAAACCCCGUCUCUACUAAAAAUACAAAAAAUUAGCCGGGCGUGGUGGCGGGCGCCUGUAAUCCCACCUACUCGGGAGGCUGAGGCAAGAGAAUUGCUUUAACCUGGGAGGUGGAGGUUGCAAUGAGCCAGGAUCGAGCCACUGUACUCCAGCCUGGGCAACAAGAGAGAGACUCCGUUUUAAAAAACAGAACAAAGAAAUAGGGUUGCUGCUGAUAUAAUUAGUUAAGAUGAAGUUAUUGGGACGGCCCCUAACCCAACAUGACUGCUAUCCUUAUAAAAAGAGGAAAUUUAGGUUGGGCAUGGUGGCUCAUGCCUAUAAUCCCAGCAUUUUGGGAGGCUGAGGCAGGAGGAUUGCCUGAGCCCAGGAGUUAAGGACCAGCCUGGGCAACAUAGGGAGACUCCAUCUCUAUGAAAAAUACAAAAAUUAGCCUGGUGUGGUGGUGUGUGCCUGUGGUCGCAGCUACUCAGGAGGCUGGGGUGAGAGGAUCGCUGAGCCCAGGAGGUCGAGGCUGCAGUGAGUCGUGAUCAUGCCACUGCACUCUAGUCUGGGCAACAGAGCAAUACCCUGUCUCAAAUAAAUAAAUAAAAAUAGUAAAUUUGGACAUGCGCAGGACACCAUGGGAACGUAGGGGCCGAGACCAGGUGGUGCUUCUGCAAGCCAAGGAACCUCACAGGCUGGCGGCCCCCAGAAGCUGGGAGGCUGGGACUGUCCCCAGGGCCCCCACUCUGCCCACUGCUUGGACUCCGGGCCCCAGGACUGAGAGCACAUUCCUGUUGUUGAAGCUGCUCGGUGGUGGCACCUGGCUCCAGCAGCCGCAGGCAGCGAGUCCACAGGCUCUCCUGUCCCUCCUGUGCCGCCUUCCUCCCCGGAUGGGCCCCGUGAUGAGGUCUCUGUGCGAUGGGGAAACCGAGGCCCCAGCAGACACCUGGGAUGCAGAGACGCCGGCACCGCUAUGUGUCCUCGGGCAAUUCGCUGAACCUUUCUGGGCCUCGGUUUCUCACCCAUUCCAAAAGCUGAUUCUGCUACCGACUGCUGUGAGGGUCCCAGGGGACGGGAAAGCCCGGGCAGCGCCCACCGGCGCUCAGGAGCUUGCUGACUCCGAGGGGGUGGGGCCGGGCCUGGGCAAGGGGCGGGGACGGGGCCUGCUCGACGUGCUCGGCGCUCCUGGGUUGCCUGCUCGGCGCUCCGCUGGCCGCCCUGCGUACGCUCGCAGGGCGCUCGCAGACUCCGGAGUCGCUAACAUGUCGACCGCCAUGAAUUUCGGGACCAAGAGCUUCCAGCCGCGGCCCCCGGACAAGGGCAGCUUCCCGCUGGAUCACUUAGGUGAGCGGCGGAAGGUCGGCGGGCAGGGGUCUGGGAUGGGGGGUCUGGGUCGCGGCCCAGCGCGGAGCCCUAUGGGGUGUCGGCAUCUAGCACGGUGCAGGCGGGGAAACUGAGGCACGGCGGCCCCGCCCCCCGCCCCACCCAGCCCUGGGUCACUGCUGCGGCAUGGACCCUGCAGGUGGGAGCUGGCAGGACCGUGGCCCCCGUGACGAGGGCAGUGACACCGACUCCCUGCGUCAGGCUUCCGGGUCUCCGGCUCCGCCCUGACUCACCCGGCGGGCUGUCUGUGUCCCGGGUUUGCAGAGCGGGGCAUUCGGCGGCCACACAAUAGACUAUUUAAGAAAUGAUGAAAGAUGAAUGAUUCUUCCUGUCGUAACCAGAACUCACCAACGCUCACUUUUAAACAAAACAAAUGCGUUCGUAGCUAUGAUCCCCACAGCUUUUACUUAAAAUAAGAGCUAUUC
rnacentral:lncRNA from 1 species